rnacentral:rRNA from 1 species
CCCGUCCCUCCGGCCCGCCGCCCCUCGGGACGUGGCCACGCGGCCUCGGCCCGGCGGGCGGAGGACACAUCCCGGCGCGGCGCGCGCCAAGGAACGAUCGUCGGAACAAGGCUCCGCUCCCGCCCGCGCGGCGGGGCGGCGCCUCGCUCUACACUCGAAAUUGUACGACUCUCGGCAACGGAUAUCUCGGCUCUCGCAUCGAUGAAGAACGUAGCGAAAUGCGAUACUUGGUGUGAAUUGCAGAAUCCCGCGAACCAUCGAGUCUUUGAACGCAAGUUGCGCCCGAGGCCAUCCGGCCGAGGGCACGCCUGCCUGGGCGUCACGCAUCGCGUCGCUCCGCGCCCCACGGGCGUCGGACGCGGAGAUUGGCCCCCCGCGCGCGAGCGCGGCGGGCCUAAGCGCGGGCCGCCGGCGGGGACGGGCACGGCGAGUGGUGGACGGAAGCGCGGACUCCGCGCACGCGAGCCGGACGCCGUGGCCCCGAGCCCCAGCGGCACAAGGCCCUUCGGAACCCCACAGGGCGCGCGAGCCCUCCCCCGGGACGGGCGAGCCGCCUCGCACCGCGACCCCAGGUCAGGCGGGGCCACCCGCUGAGUUUAAGCAUAUCAAUAAGCGGAGGAGAAGAAACUUACGAGGAUUCCCC